rnacentral:lncRNA from 1 species
ACAGCUCCGGUUGCGGGGAGGCCCGGGUGGGUACCCGGCGCUCCGGCUCCCAGUCUCCUGGGCUUCUCCAGUCCUUCAGCGCCGUUCUCCGGUCACAGGGAAUGAAAGCGAGGAAGAAGGAAACGGUGUCGAGAAUUGCGAAGAGAGAAAGCAUAGAAAACCCACAUUAGAGGCACUCCCAGAGCAGAAACCCUUCGGAGCAUCCCGACUUCCUCGGCCCGCGUGCAAUCCAGGCAAAAUUGAGGUUGUCUCUGAGCCGCCCUCCCUAAGCAGGUCGGAAAGCCCCCGAAUCAUCCCAGGUCCCGCCGCGCUGCACUCGCAACCUGGGGUGGAGGUCCCUCUAGUGGUUGGCACCAAACAAAAGUUCUGUCUUAUGAAGAGCCGAGGUCAGGAAGCAUUUCCCUGUGCCCAGCGCCAAGGUCUGGGACCUUAGGUCCAAGAAAAGCGUUGGCAAUGUCUGACCACAGGAAUGGGUUCUCGAACUGGGGAGGACUGAAGCUGGAGAUCUGGUCCAGCCCCUACCUCCAGCGUGUGGCCUGAACCCGUUUUGGUUGUACUGCUAUGUUGUGGCCCUGCCCAGGCCUCCAAGGACUGGCUGCUGUUAAGCUGUUUAAAAUCCCUGUAGGCCUCAGAUGGCAGCGACACCAGGGACUCGGCAUAGUCCCCAGCUCUGGCAGGAGUCACCACAGCCCUAGCCUUUAGUUCUCUACAGGCUGGAGUGUCGACAAACUCCACAGGACACAACUUUUUCAAACCAAAUUUACCCUCGCGGUCUGAAAUGACCAGUAGGCCCAGGAGAAUUUUACAUGUGAACAGAACCUAACCCACCCUGGCAAAUAUGAGACGUGUGGUCACUGCGGGAACCUGGCCAGCAGCAGACCAAAGCACAGCCAGCAGGGGAAGGCUGGGGCCCGCAAGAGUUGUGUUACAACAGGACACCCUUCAGUUCUCUUUCACUUCCUUAAAAUAGCAGCAGAGCGACUUUUGUAGACGCAGGCUGCCACAGUUCACACAAGGUCAUGGCUGUUUCCGAAUCCCACCCUUUAUUGCCCUAGCGGAGCCACUCCCCUUACCUCCGCCCCCAGAAACUGCUAGCCUGUUCUUAAAUUGAUACAGUUACCUUUUUAAAUGUUCUAAGUCACCGGCUCUGGAGCUUCUUUGCACUUUGGAACCAACUUGCGGGAAGGAACUUUAAAAAUACUGAUAUCUCGAUCCAUCCCCAGAGGUUCUGAUUUAAUGGUCUUGGGGAUAUGGCCACGGCAUGAGGACUGUUAAAACUCCGCAGGUGAUUCUUAUGUGCAACAAAGUUUAAGAACCACUGAUGUAGGCCAUGUCGAUGUCAGUCUUCACUUAAAUCCAACAAGACCCCAGAGCUAAAACGUUCACCUGAAAGAAACCCCAUUCCCAGGCCUGCAUACUGACCUGCGCUGGCUCACAAGAAGCAAAGUGGUCCCUUAACAGGGGCUUCCUGGAGAAAAUGUCUUGACCUAAAAGAGUGAUUCGAGCUGCAGGGAUUUAAGAGAGACAGGGCCUUGCUCUGUCACCCAGGCUGAAAUGCAGUGUUGCAAUCUUGGCUCGCUGUAGCCUCAAGCUCUUGGACUCAGGCGAUUCUCCUAUCUCAGCUUCCUAAGUAGCUGGGACUACAGGGCUCAGUGUGGUCAAAAGAAGACUAUAGAAUCAAGGAUGAAGAGAAGGAACACAGAAUAAAAGGACGUCUCAGCAGGAAGCUCUGUGACUACUAUGUAAUUCUUACAAUACAGCAAAUGAUGCCAUACAGUGAAGCACCUUGAAAGAUUGCUGGGAUAAGCUGACAGCAUGGCAGCCAAAAUAGUGACCCCAGGCUUGCAGGAAUUCUGUGCUUUCUGGAGGAAAUGGUCAUGGGUUUCCCAACCUGCCUUUUAAACUAAGGACCGAGCUGAAGAAGCCCCCGUCUUCCAGCGCAUGUUAUUCCCAUGACAGAUGCUAAAAGUUCAAGGGGAGAGCUACAAGAAGUGCGUUUUCCUGUGGCUACUUUCAUGUCUGGAUGCAAUGCCUAGACCUGCAUCCAUCUUGCGACCAACCUGAAGAUGAACAGAAAGGAAGGAAGGAUGGCCCAAUAGCCUGGGAAGAACUGGUGUUCCUGAUACCAUCAUUAACCACAGAAUCUACAAUCCCGGAACCCCCCAUCCUUAACCAUGGAAUCUACAAUCCUAUCUCUAGACCCUUUGUCCAGAUGCUACAGUUUCUUUGUUCAAUCUAGUUUGUGUCAGGAUUUCUGUUCAUUACAUCAAAAGUAUUCUAAUACUUGUAGCAAAGCAACUGGAGAAGUUUUCACUUUGUCUUUAACCAAAGAAGACUUCCAGGAAACAUCUCCUCAGUGGGUUUCUCCCUCACCACUGGAUUUUUAUCUCUGUACUAGUGCUUUGAUUUGUUUUAGGAGUCUCACCUCUCCACCUGUCAUAUUUCCCUGGCAGGCUCAUUUCUGCUAAUGCCCACAAUAUGUGUAUCAAUGAGCUUUCAACGUUAGGUACACAGCUCUUCAGGCAUGUAUAGCACAUUAAUCUGUCUGCUUCUAAGUGGUCUGUUGACAUGUUUGGGUGCCAGUUAUAUCUACAAGGCUGUGAUCAUUGUCCUGGGUUAUUCUGUUUGUUCUCUCUGCAGGAUGCAUUAGGACACCCAAGGCCAUGGCCAUCACUUACAUCUAGGAUUCAAUCUUAUCUCCUGUGAAUCACUGGAAACCUCCUGUCCUGGAACCCUUUUUUUCCACAUCCCACUGGAUGUCAUUCAUAGCAACUGGUCUUGUGGGUUGUCUAUUUUAUUGUGUUGUCUUACUCUUCCUCCUGGUAUCAGUUUUUAAAUCCUCUUGAUGAGAUCAGCUGAUCAGUCGCUAAGCAACAUAGUCCCCCAUGUCUUUGUAAGAUUCUCUGCACUCAUGGCUAGAAUGAUUUAUUCUGGUAUCUUAAGCUGUGUUUCAGAACCUCAUUCUAAAUAUCAACCUAUUCUUGUAAGUCCACUACUGAUCAUCUUUAGAUAUUCUUCAGUCUUCCAGAGUUCCAAAGGGCAGUAGGAAGAAGCAAUGAAAAUACCACCUGUAUUCUCACAUCUUUCAUUGUUCCACUCAAAAAAUACCACCAUGUUCACUUCUGGUGGAACGUUUAUGUCCAUGAGAAGCAGUGGCUUUGAAGAGUUUUGGCAGACUAUGGCGCCUUACUCAACAUUGGGAAGGUAUCUUGCCAUCAGACCUUUUGGGUCUCCAUGAAACUUCUUAUACCCCCUCUGGGAAAAGUCACUAACUGUGAUCUUACUGAGCUUCUAAACACAGCAUUUUUUUUACACUUAAGUGAGCGGGGGUCCUCCUCAUUUGUGCUUCUCUUCUUGUAAGGGUGACUUCCUCCCAGUAGGAUGAAUCUCAUGCCUAUUUGUGUUAUUUUGCUAAUUCCAGCUUCUUUUCUACUCAGGGGGGUUCCAACUCUUUUAAGGUCUCAUCUUCAGCACUUCUAAACUGUGGGAAACUAUGUGAAAACAAAUGGAGUGGCCAAACACACCAUUCAUCACUGUGCUUCUGGACAGCUGCAAGUCCAUACGUGUUCUGGUGAGUCUUCAGGUUGUACGGGAACAGAGGCUGAAUCAAGGCAGUUCAGUGAGAGUCUAGAUGGGAGUGCUUAUGGUGUUCUAUAAUAAAGUACUUAUGGAACAAUAAUAGAAAUGGAUUCUUAGAGAAGCCCAAGAGAAGGAACUAUGAUUGCCUCAUUUCCCUGACAUUUCUAAGUUUGGUGGCAUAAUCUAAUUGACCCAACCCACCUUGGGGUGCCAGGCCAUGUCAUAAGUCACUGGACAGCCCAUAAACAGCUUUCUGGGAGCAUGUCCCCAUCUUGAUCCAAUCACCUGUGGCCAGGACAUUUUACAAACCUCGGUGGUUAGGGCUGCUUGUUCAACAGAUAUUAGGGGUGAAGUUGUACAUGCAUGCAGGGGAGGCUGAGAUGGUAGGCACCGUGAAUAACAUGUUCCAGGGUGGGCUCUGCCUCUUGUCUGCUCUGUAACAUACCCCUGCUUCCUUGUCCUGACCUCUCAUUUGCUAAAGUCUGAUUUCCAGCUUUGAAGUCUCUGCUCAAUCUCUCCAGCCUUCUGCUCAUGUCUUCACCUCCUACCUUGCAGCCUGUCUUUUGACUUGAUGUUGCUUGACUGCAAUUCCUGUGACUUGGCCUUGGGGUCCACUCCCAUGAAAUGCUUCUCUGGCAGCCUUGGCAGGUGUGUCCCAGUGUUCCUGAGUUCCAGUGUUCCUGGCUGUGUCCUUGCACCAGAGCAGGCUGCUUGAGAUUAGACACGCUCCUCCCUCCUAUCAGUCCACCUUGGCUCUGACACUUUCCUCAGCCUCCUUUUCUUUGUCUGCUGGAGCACAGCAAAGUUUCCCAGAAGGUUUAAAUUUACAUUCUUGGUCAAGGUCUCACACCAUCAUGACACUGAAGCAGAUAGAGUGACUUCCUUCUCUUCUAAGCUGUGUGCAUGCCUCCAUGCCCCUACUAGUUUGUAUAAUUCCAGUUUCUAUAAUUUCUUCCAUUCUUUCCUGAAACUUUGUGCUUUCUGUUAAAGUAGGUUUUUAGGGAUAUUUUUCAGGUCGGUUCAUCCCUCUGAAUGUCUUGGGUUUGUCUGAUUGAAGCCAAAUGGACACAGUGAGUGUUUCCUUUCUGAGUGGAGGGAGGUGGCUCUUGCAUCACCUUUGGGUCCUUUAGAGCUUUAGAGUAAAUGCUCAAAGACUGCCCACAGCUGGAUUUGCUGGCUGUGAAUUAGAUCUGGGAGGAGAGGACUUAGCAGGAAAAAGCUUCUGUAUCUAAUGCUGAAAUCAGAGAUGAAGUCUGAACAGAAGUGCGACAUCCAAGAGUCAGGGGCGGGAUGUAGGAGGUGCAUGGGAUGACAGGGGCGGGGCUCUGAUCUGAGAAGGGCAGUUUCAAUGUGCACAGCAGAGCACUGGGGAGGGGAUGUGUUGUUCCAUACAAGCUGAUGGAAGUUGAUAGAAGAAUAGGAACAAGGCUUGGAUGGUGGCAAAAGACCUACCUGCACCAAUGUGAAAAAAGGGGCCCUUUCAAGGCUGAGCCAGGUUGGAAGAGGGCAGAGCUGCUUCCAGGACACCAGAGAGUGCAGCAAGUAUGCAGAGAAAACCUGGGCACCAAGAGACCUGGGAGAGAGGAGGCAGAUGGGUGGGCCAAAGUUCUGGUAGUUGGGAAAGGUGAUAGAAAGCACUGCAUUAAUGCUGGGUCCUCUGCCCUUGUACUAAGAGCAGCACAUGGCUGCCUCUGAAUCCUGCCCAUGGAGUAACAUUUGCUUCCAUAUGCCACAAAGAUGAGAUGGGGCCCUGAUGUGCCUGUUAUAGGAGGGCAGAGCAUCCUGUGUGCUCUGUGAGAAGAGCUGGGCCACGUAUCUCCAGGUCAAAGCCCGCACAGCAGUUAUCCCCUCCCUCUCUUGUAUCUUCAACCUUUCCUUUCCUAUUGGGAAGGAUUUCCGUAUUUCCAAGAGCCUGCUCAAGUGGGGUCAGCAUGUGUCUCUGGUCACCACCCUCUCCCCUGUGGAAGGCUGACAACUCUCCCAUCUAUACAAAAUUUGAAACCACCAAUUAUAUGAUUGACACUAUUACACUGGAACAAUUUCCUGUCAGACUCCCCCACCAGACUCUUUACAGGCCGGUGCUUCAUCUACAUCUCUCUGUCCACAGCACUUGGUGUAGUAUUCGCAACCUAGCAGGAAUGAAAGAGUCCGUGUGGAGUCAAGCACCUCAGGGAACCCCUUGAAAGCAGUGACACAUACCUCCAACAAGAAUUGCCUCUUCCUUCCUUCUGUGGCUUUGCACAGCAUUUUUCUUUAAUUAUAAACACAGUUGGUCUCUCUAUGCUGUUUAGGCUAAGCACAGCACAGCUUCAAACUGGAAGGUUAAAUAUUUGUGGUAAAAAUAACUUAUUUGUGCCCAUGCAAAUGUGGCAACACAAACUCAGGCAUGUAGUGUUCUAUGCAGAGAAGCUAAAACCAAGGAAUGACAUUAAUUUCCGGUGAAAAUAUGUGAUGACAAUCUUAGAAUUCUGGCUUUUCAGAAAAAAAAAAAAUCACUCUAGAGGGUCCUAAAAAUAUGGGCAGUUGGUGAUGAGUCCAUAUUCCUUCUUAUCACUCCCACACUGGAUCCAAAUACAGUGGUCGUUUUCAAAGUGCAUAUCACACAGUGUUUAUUGAAUCCAUAAUGGGCAGUGGCCCAUUAUGGGUUUGUGAAAUUAAUUUAAUGAUUGUGACCAGUAGUCUAUUUUUAAUGAAAAAAAAUUAAAAAGUGCAUCACGUUAUGUUUAUUAAUUUCGUGAAACUUUUGUUUCAGUUUUAUAUCUAUGUCCAUGUCAUGACUGAAAUGUAUAUCUAAAUGUGAAUCAAUGCCAAGAACAUUUGUGGCACACUGCUCCCUUCCAUGUAGAACUGGGGACUUAUUGAAAUACUGUGCUACACCUUACAUUCUUAACACUAAAGUCUUUGUGAAGCACUGGAAAUUCCAAGAGCCAGAGAAAUGAGAAACUUAGGCUAUCUCUGGAAAAGUUAUCCUUAUUUAAGCACUACAAUAGAACAAUAAAAAAUAAGCUACUGGAAAGCCUGGGUAGAGUUACAGUUUCCCAGAAUCUUAAUUGGCUGCAGAAAGGAAACAAACACUUGUCCAGCGUCUUUCACUGCUUUCACCAGAUAUUAUGCUAGGUGCUUUCAGGUAUGUUGUAUCAUUUAAUCAUCCUCACACAGUUAUCUAAAACUAGCUACUGAUAUCCCCAUUUUACAGAAGAGGAAAUGAAUCCUCAGAGAGAUGAGAUAAUUUGCUCAAGCUCAGCAGCUCGAAGUGGCUGAGCUGUAAUUAGGUUCCUCUUCCUGUUAGACACUAGUAACAACAGCACAGCUGAGGUCGUCCACCAGGAAGUUGAGCUGGGUCACGUCUUCCUCUUUGAUUAAAUGAUUUUGCUCUCCUCAAUUUGUCUGCUUCGAUCACAGUAGCUCUUGCAUUUAUCUGUUUUAGACCUUCAACUUUCAAAUUAGAUUUGACUUCAUCAAAGAAUUUGGCCAAAAACAAACAAACAAACAAACAAAAAAACCAACUGGACACCACUGUAUUAAACAAGUAAUUUAAGUCUUUGUGUGUAUGCUUAAGUUUGCUAAGAGCUCUUACAUUUGUACAUAUACAUGCAUAUAAACAGCAUAUUACAAAUAAUCUAGAAACAUAUAGGAGCACCAUGGACCCUCAGUCUGAGAUCCGACUAAGCAACUUCUCAUUUUACAAUUCAAAUGCAAAUCCAUGUUAAUCCUACUGAAGAUACUGUCCCCACUUUCCCUCCCUCCAAGGCCACCAAAUUCCUUUCCCUGUGGCUGGCUGCUGCACCAACACUUCUCUCCCUUUUCCUAACCUGCUCUUUCUUCAGUUUCUUUACUGCCUGGAAGGAACCUUAUAGGUAACCUACUAUCCUACCCACCUCAAUAGCAAGCAUGUCCUGCUCAGCAGCACAGAGCCUUAAAAACAGAGGCCACCUAAUGUUCUCUUAGCAUGGAGUGGAUAGUGAUGGUGGAAGGGCUCAGUCCUUAAAUUCCAAGCCCUCCUCUCUAAAAUUGGAAUGGGUGAAGUCCUGAAUCUGGCCCAGAUCUGUUUCUCCUAUAAUAGUCCUGGCUCACCAUUAUUCCCUGUCUCAUGGAGUUCUCUUCUGGUCUUUUCAGCUGAUUUUUUUUUUUCUUUUUCUAGAUGAAGUCUGGCUCUGUUGCCCAGGCUGGAGUGCAAUGGCACAGUCUCGGCUCACUGCAACCUCUGCCUCCUGGGUUCAUGCAAUUCUCCUGCCUCAGCUUCCCAAGUAGCUGGGAUUACAGACAUGCACCACCAUGCCCAGCUAAUUUUUGUAUUUUUAGUACAAACAGGGUUUCACUAUGUUAGUCGGGCUGAUCUUGAACUCCUGACCUCAAGUGAUCCACUCCCCGCAGCCUCCCAAAGUGCUGGGAUUACAGGCGUGAGCCACUGCGCCCGGCCUUUCAGCUGAUUUUCUAAUCAAGAAGUUAUAUCAGUCUUUGUCUGCAGUUGCUCAAAGACUCUCUUUUAAAGUGCAGAGACUAUCCACCUCAGCUAUAGCACAGGGCUCAGCACUGUAUUUCCAGUUAUGGAAUACAGUUAUUUCAUAUAUGUUAUAUUAUUCUUAAUUCUGUCCCUAGUUCCUGCUACUGAGGAAGUCCAUACUCAGCAGGACAGUCUCCUGGUCUGCCAUGAAUUCAAACACAAUCUGUAAAGACAGUGAAGGAAGCUACAUCUGUGCAUGGGGGCUUUAGAGAAUUAUUGGCUUGAAGCAAUAAGAGGAACAUCUGGGCUGAGUAGUCCUCGAAGACUCUCAUGUGAUUCAAAAGUCCUUUUCUUCCUUAUUAUUUCCUAUCUUGCUCUCAAGCAUCUCCUCUGGCAGCAGCAACUGGAACUAAAAGUGAUUUCUCUAUAACAGCGAGCAAGUUUCUCAUGGCCUUUGCUAUUAACUCUUUCAUGCCUGCUGACCUGCAAAAGAAUCAGGAGGGCUGGUGCUGGAGCAGAUGGCGCACUGUGAGUGAUGGUUUAGAUUCUGCCUGGACUCAAACCAUUUGGUUGAUGGCGGGAACCUUGAUUUUCCCCCUUCUUAUCCUGAGAGUGUAGGGUUUCUCUGAAUUAUUAUUUCUUUCUUUGCAAGGAUCCCUGGAUCCUCAUUCCUGAUAUAAGACUAGUUCUAGGUAAGUGCACAUUCAUGUGAUAUAUUGGUUCCAUACUAGGCAAUGGAAGUGCCACAUUAUCUGUAAGGAGCAGGAGAAGAGCCAUUAGCCCCAGUCCUGGGAACGAACUUUCUGUAACUUUAAGAAACAUAAAACUUUAAAUGCAACUGAAAGAUUAUAUUCUGUCACCUCCAACUACUCACCCAUAAAUACAAUAGGCACCACGGAGGCUAGGAUAAAGUGCAAAUUUAAGAUUAUAAGUGUGCUUAUAAUAAAUAUUGACAACAUCAUGCCUUCAAUGUUAUCAAUGUUGAUGUCACCCUGCAGGCCCAAGGUAGAGAGGUAGAACUGCUCCGCUGGCUGCCCUGCCAUACUUUGGGGUCAUGUGAUACGAUCUUCCAUAGCCACGGGGCCUUGGUUGUCAACUCAUUCCUGAACUUUGUGUGCCAAAGUGAGUCCAGCUUCCACACCCUUCACCUCCACCACCAGGCUGAUCCAGACUGCCAGGCUACGAUCCUCCAAGCAGGAUCCUACCUUGAUCUUAAAAACUUCCUAUGAAGAGCUCUACCAUCAUGUUUUCUAAAACCAGAAGCCCACCCUAAUCCCUGCCUGGCUUUUGGUUCCUUCAUUAGAGGCAAUCACUGCCAUAGAGAGCCCCACUCACUAUCCCUCCAUAGACGCCUUAGAACUAGGUUGGGAGCACGAGAUGCUCAGCCUUUAUAUUUUGUUAUCUUGAACCACAUGGGAGUCUUUGAGGACUACCCAGCCCAGACAUUUCUCUUAUUACUGCAAGCCGAUAAUUCUCUAAAGCACCUAAGCACAGACGUAGCUUCCUUCACUGUCUUUACAGAUUGUGUUUGAAUUCAUGGCACAGCAGAAGACUGUCCUGCUGUGUAUGGAGUUCCUCAGUAGCAGGAACUAGGGACAGAAUUGAGAAUAGCACUAACACCAGAAAUACAGUGCUGAGCCCUGUGCUGUAGCUGAGGUGGAUGGUCUCUGACUCUGUGGGCCUCUCUGCAGCCAGUCCAAUUCCUGUCUUUCUCUUGUGAAUAAAUGUUGCUGGCUCCAACUCAGCCUUAUUUUUUGAUGUGAUUCUGACUCCAGUCAUUAAGGGGGAUGUCUUAG